rnacentral:rRNA from 1 species
AUCAGGGUUCGAUUCCGGAGAGGGAGCCUGAGAAAUAGCUACCACAUCCAAGGAAGGCAGCAUGCGCGCAAAUUACCCACUCCCGAAACGGGGAGGUAGUGACGAUAAAUAACGAUGCGGGACUCAAUCGAGGCCCCGUAAUUGGAAUGAGUACACUUUAAAUCCUUUAACGAGGAUCAAUUGGAGGGCAAGUCUGGUGCCAGCAGCCGCGGUAAUUCCAGCUCCAAUAGCGUAUAUUAAAGUUGUUGCAGUUAAAAAGCUCGUAGUUGGAUCUCAGGAUUUGGAUGGAUGGUUCGCUUUCGGGCGCUACUAUCUGUCUGACCUACUCUAGUCGUGGAUGCCUUGGGUGCUCUUAAUUGAGUGCUUUUGGUGCCCGUCGCAAUUACUUUGAAAAAAUUAGAGUGCUCAAAGCAGGCGUAUUGCCUGAAUAGUGUUGCAUGGAAUAAUGAAAUAGGAGUUUACUUCUAUUUUGUUGGUUUUCGGAGGUGAACUAAUGAUUAACAGGGACAGACGGGGGCAUUUGUAUGGAGGGGUUAGAGGUGAAAUUCUUGGAUCCUCUCCAGACAAACUACUGCGAAAGCAUUUGCCAGGAAUGUUUUCACUAAUCAAGAACGAAAGUCAGAGGUUCGAAGACGAUCAGAUACCGUCCUAGUUCUGACCAUGAAUGAUGCCAUCUAACAAUCCACGAAGUUUGCUUGUACGAACUCGUGGGCGGUCCCCGGGAAACCAAAGAUUUUGGGUUCCGGGGGAAGUAUGGUUGCAAAGCUGAAACUUAAAGGAAUUGACGGAAGGGCACCACCAGGAGUGGAGCCUGCGGCUUAAUUUGACCCAACACGGGAAACCUCACCCGGCCCGGACACUUUUAGGAUUGACAGAUUGAAGGCUCUUUCUUGAUCAAGUGGUUGGUGGUGCAUGGCCGUUCUUAGUUGGUGGAGCGAUUUGUCUGGUUAAUUCCGAUAACGAACGAGACUCUACUCUGCUAAAUAGAACGAUGAUAUAUAAAAGUCAGUGCUGACUUCUUAGAGAGACUAACGGCGUUUAGCCGCGUGAGAAAGAGCAAUAACAGGUCUGUGAUGCCCUUAGAUGUCCGGGGCCGCACGCGCGCUACACUGACUGCAGCAACUAGUAUGCUCCUGGUUUGAAAAAACUGGGUAACCUGGUUGAAUUGCAGGCGUGACAGGGAUCAGAGUUUGCAAUUAUCCUCUGUGAACGAGGAAUUCCCAGUAAGCGCAAGUCAUUAGCUUGUGCUGAUUACGUCCCUGCCCUUUGUACACACCGCCCGUCGCUACUACCGAUUGAAUGGUUUAGUGAGGUCUUCGGAUUGGUGCUGAUGGAGUGGUUCUCUGCUCUGUUAGUGCCGAGAAGAUGAUCAAACUUGAUCAUUUAGAGGAAGUAAAAGUCGUAACAAGGUU